rnacentral:misc_RNA from 1 species
GUCAAUAAGCCGCCUUUAUUCAACCCAAGGACAUUUGAGGCCAGGAUGCGGGCCAGGCCAGUCAACUUUUGUGCGCCACAUAAUCAAGGCAGCAAUGGGGGAAAAAAAAGGUCGUAGGCAAAAGGGGAAAGACCCGCAGGCUCUGGCGAUAAAGACGAAGACGACCCCUUGGCGGUAAAAAGGAAACGGCGAAACACGUUAUUACACUAAGCGGAUUUGCACGGACUGCGUGUCCUUGAGCUCUGGCACGCCUCAAUUCCCAUCUACCACCUCGCAAUCGCCAUCGCUACUUUCCACCAUUCCCAUGCGAUGCAAAUCCAUGAUUGAUAGUUUAAGCCGGUCCAAGUUCCGCAUGCCGCAUGCCGCAUGCCGGCAGAGUUCGCGACCGGCUUAAUUAAGCCAUUGGGCAAUCUGGACGGACGAUCGCUCGCCCACCACGUGCCCGGCAUAAAACAUGGCCAGCUCCAGACUAUCCAUUCCGAACCUGAUGCUACAAAUACAAACUACUACAACACUGCUACUCUGCUACUGCCCCCCAGUUAGACAACGCGCCAUAAAUAUUCAAAUAGAGUCCCGCCCAAAUGCGCUGCGCUGGCGCACAGUCUCUUUUUCAGAGCGAGCGGACUAUCCGGCGUCCAUAAACAAUGUUUUUCAUUU